UACGUAGGGGGCAAGCGUUGUCCGGAAUCAUUGGGCGUAAAGAGCGUGUAGGCGGCCCGACAAGUCCGCUGUGAAAGUCCAGGGCUCAACCCUGGAAUGCCGGUGGAUACUGUCGGGCUAGAGUCCGGAAGGGGCGAGUGGAAUUCCUGGUGUAGCGGUGAAAUGCGCAGAUAUCAGGAGGAACACCAAUGGCGAAGGCAGCUCGCUGGGACGUGACUGACGCUGAGACGCGAAAGCGUGGGGAGCAAACAGG
rnacentral:rRNA from 1 species